rnacentral:lncRNA from 1 species
UUUUUGCGGUUUUUCCCACUGGGUUUUCUGCAAAAAGGUUUUAAUGAGGCUCGGCCCUUAGUCUGCUUUUCCUGUGCUUUCAAGGGUUUUUUCUAGGUUUUUUUCUUUUUCUUUUCUUUAAUAAAAAUCGCAGUUUAAUAAUGAGAGUUUGUACUUUUAGUUAUUUGCUCAAGUAAUUAUUUUUGUAAACAAAAUUAAUUAUUGAUGUGCAGAAAAGUAAUCUUAUUUUGAUUCGCCAGAAAAAAGCAACAAAAAAAAAAGAAACAAAAAAAGCGAAAAAAAGAAAAAAAAAAACGGAAAAUAAAAAAAAGUGGGCAAAAAAAUCGGGGGAAAAAAAGAACAAAAAAAAAGAAAAAAAAAACGAAAAAUGGGAAUAAAAUUGGGGAAAGGGGUUUGGAACCCUUGACAUUAAUACAAUGAGAAUGUAGUUCUACCACUGGACCAAACAACAUUUAUAAAUUUAAUGAAAAAAUGUACUCCCUCC